rnacentral:ncRNA from 1 species
GAAUGGGCGAUGAAAAGGAAUAGUAGUUGCAAAGGAAAUUCCACAGAGAGAGAAUCCGCGGCGCUGAAAGAUUCUUGUUUUGAAAUGCGAUGAACCUACCUUGGAGCCACUGUGCGAAAGCACAGCGUUUCAUCAGCGUUAAUGGUGAUCAGAGAGAGCUGCGAAAGGGUCGCAGUUAACUAGGGUGGUACCGCCGAGCUUUUCGGUCCCUUUU